GGACUACACGGGUAUCUAAUCCUGUUCGCUCCCCACGCUUUCGCUCCUCAGCGUCAGUUACUGCCCAGAGACCCGCCUUCGCCACCGGUGUUCCUCCUGAUAUCUGCGCAUUCCACCGCUACACCAGGAAUUCCAGUCUCCCCUGCAGUACUCCAGUCUGCCCGUAUCGCCCGCACGCCCACAAUUGAGUUGUGAGUUUUCACGAACAACGCGACAAACCACCUACGAGCUCUUUACGCCCAGUAAUUCCGGACAACGCUCGCACCCUACGUAUUACCGCGGCUGCUGGCAC
rnacentral:rRNA from 1 species